AACGAACGCUGGCGGCAUGCCUAACACAUGCAAGUCGAACGAGACCUUCGUGUCUAGUGGCGCACGGGUGCGUAACGCGUGGUAACCUGCCCUUAGGUUCGGAAUAACUCCCCGAAAGGGGUGCUAAUACCGGAUAAUGUCUUCGGACCAAAGAUUUAUCGCCUUUGGAUGGGCCCGCGUUGGAUUAGCUAGUUGGUAGGGUAAAAGCCUACCAAGGCGACGAUCCAUAGCUGGUCUGAGAGGAGGAUCAGCCACACUGGGACUGAGACACGGCCCAGACUCCUACGGAAGGCAGCAGUGGGGAAUAUUAGACAAGGGGGGAAAGCCUGAUCAAGCAAUGCCGGGGGAGUGAUGAAGGCCUUAGGGUUGUAAAGCUCUUUUACCCGGGAUGAUAAUGACAGUACCGGGAGAAUAAGCUCCGGCUAACUCCGUG
rnacentral:rRNA from 1 species